AAGCGGACCCACGCGUCAGCCUCCAAAACUGGGUCCAGUACUCCAGUCCCACGUCCGCCCCGGCGACAGCGACGGCGCCCCAGUCGCCGGCCCGCCGUCUUCAUGCCGCCUCCAUGGCCGGCGCCCGCCCCUAUGGCGAUUCCACCACCCUUUCCAACCUCUUCUUCCUCUGCUCCAGCGCCGUAGUUUUCCGCUGUCUUCUCCAACAUCGUCCUCGUCCAUCCUCGCCAACUGCGCGUGGCUAGAUUGAGAAGGCUUUCAUCAAGCAGCCAAAGUUUCCGUGAGCACCAAGAAAGCUGGCCAGGGGGGCAACCGAUUGACCGAUUCUGGAAGAGCAUUGGUCUUGCUUGGCUUCAAGACUCCAAGGGAAGCAAUUGAAGGUAUUGUUGAUUGUGGAUCCUUUUUUUUUCUAACUGUCUUUUAAGUCCUGGUAUUUGGACUUUUGGAGGUGGGUAUUGUUAAUUAUGAUAGUUGAAGGAUGGUCAAGAUCUCACCUCCUUACUAUUCUUCCAUUCUAAUCUAA